GUAACGGCGAGUGAAGCGGGAAGAGCUCAACAUUGUAAUCUGGCUGCUUCGCAGUCCGAGUUGUAGUCUAUAGAAGCAUGAUCCGCGCCGGCCCUUGGGCAUGUCUGUUGGAACGCAGUGUCAAAGAGGGUGAAAAUCCCGUACAUACCAAGGACGACCGUGUGCAUUGUGGUCUGCUCUCUAAGAGUCGAGUUGUUUGGGAAUGCAGCUCUAAUUGGGUGGUAAAUUCCAUCUAAAGCUAAAUAUCGACGAGAGACCGAUAGCGAACAAGUACAGUAAUGGAAAGAUGAAAAGUAGCCUGCAGAGGCAAUGAAACAAUACGUGAAACCGUUUGUAGGGAAGCGAUGGAACCUUUUCACGCUGCGAGGGUUCAGCUUGGCUUCGGCUUAGUGUAUUCCCUCGUUUUGCGGACCAGCAUCAGUUUGCUUCGCAGUAUAAGGGUGAUUGGAACGUGGCUUCUCCGGAAGUGUUAUAGCCUUUCACUGGAUGCUGUGUCGCAGACUGAGGACUGCAGUGCGCCGUAAGGCAUGGCCUUCGGGCCACGAGCACUUAGGAUGCUGGGCGAAUGGGUUUCAACGACCCGUCUUGAAACACGGACCA
rnacentral:rRNA from 1 species